rnacentral:rRNA from 1 species
ACGCACGCUGGCGGCGUGCUUCACCCCUGCAAGUCGCACGGAAAGGCCCUGCUUGCAGGGUACUCGAGUGGCGAACGGGUGAGUAACACGUGGGUGAUCUGCCCUGCACUUCGGGAUAAGCCUGGGAAACUGGGUCUAAUACCGGAUAGGAGCCAUUUUUAGUGUGAUGGUUGGAAAGUUUUUUCGGUGUAGGAUGAGCUCGCGGCCUAUCAGCUUGUUGGUGGGGUAAUGGCCUACCAAGGCGGCGACGGGUAGCCGGCCUGAGAGGGUGGACGGCCACAUUGGGACUGAGAUACGGCCCAGACUCCUACGGGAGGCAGCAGUGGGGAAUAUUGCACAAUGGGCGCAAGCCUGAUGCAGCGACGCCGCGUGGGGGAUGACGGCCUUCGGGUUGUAAACUCCUUUCGCUAGGGACGAAGCUUUUUGUGACGGUACCUAGAUAAGAAGCACCGGCUAACUACGUG